rnacentral:rRNA from 1 species
UACGUAGGAGGCGAGCGUUGUCCGGAGUUACUGGGCGUAAAGGGUGCGCAGGCGGCGGUUCGCGUGGCGAGAUGAAAUCUCCUGGCUUACCUGGGAGGAUGGUCGCCAGACGGGAUCGCUUGAGGGUCGGAGAGGGGCGUGGAAUUCCGGGUGGAGCGGUGAAAUGCGUAGAGAUCCGGAGGAACACCGACGGCGUAGGCAGCGCCCUGGACGACACCUGACGCUGAGACGCGAAAGCGUGGGGAGCAAACAGG